rnacentral:rRNA from 1 species
CCUACGGGAGGCUGCAGUGGGGAAUAUUGGACAAUGGGCGAAAGCCUGAUCCAGCCAUGCCGCGUGUGUGAAGAAGGCCUUCGGGUUGUAAAGCACUUUCAGUGGGGAAGAAAGCCUUGGGGCUAAUACCCUCGAGGAAGGACAUCACCCACAGAAGAAGCACCGGCUAACUCCGUGCCAGCAGCCGCGGUAAUACGGAGGGUGCGAGCGUUAAUCGGAAUUACUGGGCGUAAAGCGCGCGUAGGCGGUCUGAUAAGCCGGUUGUGAAAGCCCCGGGCUCAACCUGGGAACGGCAUCCGGAACUGUCAGGCUAGAGUGCAGGAGAGGAAGGUAGAAUUCCCGGUGUAGCGGUGAAAUGCGUAGAGAUCGGGAGGAAUACCAGUGGCGAAGGCGGCCUUCUGGAGUGACACUGACGCUGAGGUGCGAAAGCGUGGGUAGCAAACAGGAUUAGAUACCCCUGUAGUC